CCUACGGGUGGCAGCAGUGAGGAAUAUUGGUCAAUGGGCGAGAGCCUGAACCAGCCAAGUCGCGUGAAGGAUGAAGGAUCUAUGGUUUGUAAACUUCUUUUAUAUGGGAAUAAAGGGAGGAACGUGUUCCUUUUUGUAUGUACCAUAUGAAUAAGCAUCGGCUAACUCCGUGCCAGCAGCCGCGGUAAUACGGAGGAUGCGAGCGUUAUCCGGAUUUAUUGGGUUUAAAGGGUGCGUAGGUGGUUAAUUAAGUCAGCGGUGAAAGUUUGUGGCUCAACCUCCAAAUUGCAUUUGAAACUGUUUUUCUUGAGUACUGGAGAGGCAGGCGGAAUUCCUUGUGUAGCGGUGAAAUGCGUAGAUAUAAGGCGGAACACCAGUGGCGAAGGCGGUCUACUGGACAGCAACUGACGGUGAGGCGCGAAAGCGUGGGGAGCAAACAGGAUUAGAUACCCCUGUAGUC
rnacentral:rRNA from 1 species